rnacentral:rRNA from 1 species
AUUGAACGCUGGCGGAAUGCUUUACACAUGCAAGUCGAACGGCAGCACGGGGGCAGCCCUGGUGGCGAGUGGCGAACGGGUGAGUAAUACAUCGGAACGUGCCCGGUCGUGGGGGAUAACGUAACGAAAGGUACGCUAAUAUCGCAUACGAUCUGAUGAUGAAAGCGGGGGACCUUCGGGCCUCGCGCGAUCGGCGCUGCCGAUGACAGAUUAGGUAGUUGGUGGGGUAAAGGCCUACCAAGCCGACGAUCUGUAGCUGGUCUGAGAGGACGACCAGCCACACUGGGACUGAGACACGGCCCAGACUCCUACGGGAGGCAGCAGUGGGGAAUUUUGGACAAUGGGCGCAAGCCUGAUCCAGCCAUUCCGCGUGAAGGACGAAGGCCUUCGGGUUGUAAACUGCUUUUGUACGGAACGAAAAGGCUCUGGCUAAUACCUGGGGCUCAUGACGGUACCGUAAGAAUAAGCACCGGCUAACUACGUG